rnacentral:other from 1 species
UGUCUCCUGCGGUGUUCGAUGUCUGUUUGGAACCCCUUGAGCCUAUUUACCUGACCCGGGAACCAGAUCCGUGUUUGGCGUGCAGGCCCGUCUUGCAACGGGAAGCCCGAUAGCGUGGUGAGGUGCCCACUUGAGACUUUGUCUCAAGGUCGAUAACGGAUGACGGCACAGGCGGGAGACAC